rnacentral:lncRNA from 1 species
AAGAUGGGGUGGGAGGGAGGAGGGAGUGCUGUUUUAGCUUCUUAAUGGUUCGAAGGACAAAUCUGAAAUGCAAAGAAUGGUGACUAUAAUAUGGCCUAGGCAGCUUUGCCCAGAGGAGGGUGACACGGAUUUUUCAGGUUCAAGGGAAAUCAUGUUUUCUGGCUACCUGCUUCCUCCUGCACACAGGCAAUAGCCUCUGGGAAUUAUUUUUUCUCCCCCUGGGAUCCACAGGGAAUUCAGAAGUGUGCUAAACCAAGUAAUAAGUUCUAUUCAGUGGCAACUUAUGAUGGGUAAGUGAACAACAGCCUAUGGGAUGGGAUCCUCUUAGUCCUUCUUAAUAUAUUACCAGAGGUGGUGGGAGAACUUCCACUGAGAGAUCAGGGCAGGCAAGUUAGUGUCCCCUCCUUCCCCAACCCUCAACCAGUAAGAAUGUGCCUGAUAUUCAAGGCCCAGAAGCUUGAUCUUUGGGCAUCAGAAAACAGGGUCCAGGAAUGGUGCUUUAUGAGAUAUAAACCAUUCCACAUCUCCACAUCCCAUGGAUGAGCCAAGCCAGCACUGAACUGCUUUUAAAAGUGCAUUAUUAAAAAGAAAAUGUUGCCAGGAGGAAAAGAGUGUGUUGGUGCUAAAGACCAUGGGAUUAUAUGGAAGCCUUGGGCUGAAGGUAUUCCACAUGGAAAACUGCUUAGACUUCUAGAUGGACUUUAACCUUGCUAUGAUCUCUGCUGGGCAGAUAAAAAUGUUUUAGCCAACUACCAGGAAGAUCAAACCCCUAUGUGUUCAAAAGGAAGUGAGGUUUUGGGUAUUUCAAUCUGUACCCUCCUGAAUUCCUCUCAGUUUCAGCUCUAAUCUAAGGCUAGAUGUUACAUCCUCCUUACUUCACUUUCUUCAAAGGCACAUUUUUUGGGGGGUAUGAAAUGAGUUACCUCUUCCAUCCUCAUUAUCAUGGGUAAGUUUCUUAAGAUGGCACCUAGGGCUCUUAUAGGACCCUGUGCAUUAGGCAUGACUGCUUUCUGCACAUACUGGAAGAAUAUCGGAAGCCUCUGAUCAAACUAGCUACCAUCUUGGAACUGGAUCAAUUACUUGACAGCCUGUGAGCAUGGAUGACUUUCAAGUUACUGUUCUCGACAAUCAUCUCCAACAGAAAGCUAUUCAGUGUUGUCAAAGUGAACCCUAACCCUCGAAUUCAAGCUGGUCAUCUUUGAGACUGUUCAUUUCUUCAGCAGCUUCUCCGGGGAAAUCUUACAGCCAGUUUAUGGACUGUCACUACUGCAAUUGCUUGCUUUGGAACAGAAAGCAAACUAGGAGAUGGAAUUGGGUCCUAUAUACCAAGGUUCUUGCUUUCUCUCAUACAGCCCCAGGACUGUUUUAUUUCUCUGCCUUUGGGAGUGAGGGGAAGCAAUUUUCUAGUGAUUUGCAAUAGACUGUGUUCAGCUUUUGGUUUUGUACCUGGGAUUGACUAAGCCUUUGACUUAAGAGUUGUCUACUUGCUGUCUUUCUGAAUGCCCUUUUCCAGGGAAGCCAGCUAACCUCUCAGAACAAACACUAAGGUAAAGUAGUUGAAGGGGCAAUCCUCCAGUGUACCCAGGUGCUUUUGUACAAAGGAACAAAGUGUGCUCUGAACUACAGAUGGGCAAACCCUGGUGCUUUCCUCCUCCUUCCAUGAGCUCAAGAGUUUUCCAGGUGUAGCCAAGAGUUGCUAUAUAACACAGACCUCAAGUUUCUAAUAAAACUGCUGGUUAAUGUCAAGCCCAGGAUUGAUAACUGGGAAGCAGCAGGCAUUUGCCAAAGGCAUUCUAGGCUCUUCCGUGCUUCUGCUGGCCAAGAAGUAAACUAUUUUGAGCAUUACAAUGGAGGAAAUCCGGUCAGCCAACUGCAGAGCUCAGACUUCACUAAGGGCUUGUUUUUCUUCAGCUUUUACUUGAAGGUUAAUGCAGGAUGAUGGACUCUGGAUGGAAAACUCCUGACUGUCCUACCAUCAGCUCUGCCUUGCACUGUGGUCACCUUUCCUCAGACCAGAAGAAGACAAGUAUAGGUAUCGUGCUCACAACGUUUGACCUCGACUGGUUUUUCUAAGUUAUUUUGUACAUUUUUCAGCAACAAAACCAAACUGGGUCUUCAGCUUUAUCCCCGUUUCUUGCAAGGGAAGAGCCUUUAUAUUACUGAACACAUUUUGUUUUUUCCUCAUAGAGAAAUGUAAUCUUCUUUUGUAUUAUUUUCACAAUAAUUUGUAAACAUAUUUAUUUUUACCUGCUUUUUAAAUAAGGGAACUUCAAAGUUGGGAAGGGAUUAGAAGGGAUGCAGCUCCACUUGGUGAUGGUGUUCAUGUUUCUAUUCUUGCUGAUGUCACUAAGCCUAAUGUAUAGUAUCUUCUAGGACUUCUGCUUUUCUUAAAGCCAUGGUACCCAAGGGCAUGUUGCUGGAGCUCUUCGGAAGCCACAUCCUUGUUCAGCUUUUUCAUCACCAUUCCAUCUUCAUCUUGCUUGAAUCCCUCCCAUAGAAAUGGUAGGACAGGUGCCAGAAAGCCUCCUUGGGUGUGUGUUUCCAGUCCAUCUCAUCCAUGUGCCCAAUCUUCACAUCAGGCUUGUAGUCACCCUCUUUGAAGUCCUGCGUGAAGCCAUGGUACUCCUCCCAGCAGUUUUCCUUUUCUCUGGCCAUUUUCUCCUCAGUACAGUAUACCUUGAGGACAGGGACUUAUUGGGGGCCUUCACCAGCAUCACUUCUACACUGUUGUCUAUAGCAACCUUUUAUUCUGACACAGUGGCCAGACCUCUGUUCACAAUAGAGGCCUGGUUCAGGAUGGUGGUGGCUUCUCAUCUAGAUUGGCUGCUCUAGUCAAUGUUCUAACUUUUGUGUCUGAAUCAGAGCCACCAUUGCUUCUAGUCUCAUUCAGUCCUUGAGCUCCUUCUGAUUGACAGCCAGACAAUAGGUGGGUAUCUCACCAAAGGUACGAUAAAACUCCAAGGUGGCAUUAAACAGGAUGGUCCUAUUCCGCUUGGGAAUCCACUUUGUUUCUUCAAUCUCUACCACCUUCUCACCACUCUCUUGGAGGUGAUGUCCAUUUCUCCAUGAGGUGGUAUCCAAUGGAGGGGGCUGGGACACAGGCUCCUUAUCCUCUGGGGCUACCUACUCUGCUGUGGGCACUCAUUACCAACCCUGGCCCUGCAGUCUAGAACCAAAGUCUCCAGCAUAAGUCUAGUCCCCCAAAAGAUAGCAAGCUUAUAUUACCACCUCCUUUUCCUUGCAGAUUUUCUUCACCCUUGGCUUAGUUUUUUUUUUUUUUUUUGUUUUUGUUUUUUUAGGUGUGAAGUAUUCAGAGGCAAACCAGAGCCCUGCCAAGCCCAGACCUCUUCCAGUCAGUUCCCAAAGUUUGUUGACCAUACAAGCCCUGGUCCAAAUGGGACUGUAACCGCACCCCCUCCAGCUACUCACUGAACUUGGCCAGACCAGACCGAGGUUUUUGCUGUGCCAAGUCCAUGUUCUCUUCUCUGCAUGAGGGAAGCAGAUAGACUGCUUCUUCUCUGCCUUCUGCUUAUCUACCAGGUUCAAGUUCACUAGCACAUCUUCCUCCUUCACUAACACACUUCUAUCCUUAAGGGUAGACUACACCCAUCCCCUCUUGAAAGGAAUCAAUGGCACACUCCACAGUGAGGCCCUGUGGGUCUGGUCAACUCUGCCUAAAUUCCUCUUCCUCCAGAGUACUGACACCAGACUUGAUCCAUUUCUUCCAGCAACUCAGUCCUGUUCUCUGUUAAGUUCUUCUGCAGCUGUGACAGGUUGUGGUGUCAAGCCAGGAUUCAUCCUCCCUCAGUGUCUUUAUCUUCUUCAACUGUGAUUACCUGCUUUAGUACUGGGGAUUGAACCCAGGGGUACUCUACCACUCGGCUACAUCCCUAGCUUUUUUUAAUUUUGAAUUUUGUGACAGGGUCUCACUAAAUUGCCUGGGCUGGUCUUGAACUUGCAAGUCUCCUGCCUCAGCCUUCUCAGCAGCUGGGAUUACAGGCAUGUACCAUCAUACACAGUUUUCCAACUUUUGAUCCAGCAGAUGCUUCUCCUUGGCAGCUACUUGCUUCUACAGCUCCUCUUGCUGUCACAAGGUCAUGGGGUUGAUGACAUCGAUUGCCACAGAUUCCUUGGUGCCCACCUCUUUCUUGAUGGCAUUGACCUCCAAGGGUUUCAGCCCAAGCUUUGCCCAAGUUUAUUGUUCUUCUUGAUACUGACUGCUGAGGCACCUUCAGCACUAGUUUUACAGAUGGCAGCAGCCUUGUAGCUAUCAUUGUGCUACUCCUGCUUCAUAUCCCUUUUUAAGGUCUUGGCCUGGCUGCUGUUCCUACUUGGGUGCUGCAGUGAGCCUGGCUUCUGCCCUGUGUCAGCUACUCUCACAUUCACCCCUCCCCCAAUGCUGCUACCAGUCCCAUACUGGGUGCCCACAGCCUCCAAGAUCCUGCUGCAUCUUUCACUCCUGGUGCUGCUUGACAACCCCAUGGUGCUGCAUCAGCCUGGAGCCUGGCCUCCAAAGCCUUGGACACAAAAUGGGAACACUUCUGGGUCACAUGACAGGUGCUGUCCUGUUUGUGGCUGGAAACCAAGAAGGGCUGCUUCUGUCAAUUGCCUUGGAGCCUUUUUUUCCCCUUAAUUUUUCAGGUCAAAAAUUUUAUACUGCACUUAUUUGUCAAAAUAAAGAUUCAUGUAAUGUUGCUGUUAGCUUUCCAUUUAUGUGCUGAAACCCCUGACACAAAUCAGCUUUAGAUUUCAUAAGUUUCAGACCAUGGUUGCUUGGCUCCACUGUUUCUGGGGAUGUGGUGAGGCAGAAUAACAUGGUGGAGGUCACGUGGGGAGUGGGUAAAGUUGUUCACCUCAUGGCUGCUGGGAAGCAAAGAAAUCCAAAGAAGGGGUCUGGACAAAAUACACCCUUCAAAGGUUUACCCACAGUAAUCUCCUUCCUUCAACUAGAUCCCACCUCCUAAAGUUUCCACCACUUCCCAAUAGCCAAUUAAACUGUGAAUCUGCUGGGCAUGGUGGCCAUGCCUUAUAAUCCCAGUGAAUCAGGAGGCCGAGGCAUGAGGGACUGCAAGUUCAAAGCCAGACUCAGCAAUUUAGUGAGACUUUAAGCAACUUAGCACCCUUUCUCAAAAA